UACGGGGGGGGCAAGCGUUGUUCGGAAUUACUGGGCGUAAAGGGCUCGUAGGUGGCCAACUAAGUCAGACGUGAAAUCCCUCGGCUUAACCGGGGAACUGCGUCUGAUACUGGAUGGCUUGAGUUCGGGAGAGGGAUGCGGAAUUCCAGGUGUAGCGGUGAAAUGCGUAGAUAUCCGGAGGAACACCGGUGGCGAAGGCGGCAUCCUGGACCGACACUGACGCUGAGGCGCGAAAGCUAGGGGAGCAAACGGG
rnacentral:rRNA from 1 species